GUGCUGCAGCCGGGCUCAAUCUCUCGUGGACUUCGUGUUCCGCGGGUGCCCGUACAGAGCGAGGCUUGCCGUCCCCUGCAGUUAGGGAACUAUAUCUGGCUGAUGCAUGAUGCAACUUCUUCUAGUGAAACAUUCAAGAGAAGACAUUUAGUGGAGGGUUGUAUUCAUCACCCAGAGAUUUUUACCUAUAUGAUUGCUUGGAACAUUUUUGUGUUUAGAAGAGGGAACAGAAGGAUCCUUAUGUCACCGAGUUAGCCAGCAUUGACCUUGCAACCAGUUCUUAUUCCUGACAUAUGGUCUUAUUUCUCUGUGUCUGAGUCUCUCCCUUGUUUCUAAGAUAGGGUGUGCUUGUUCUUAUGGAGC
ensembl:lncRNA